rnacentral:tRNA from 1 species
GGAAGGGUGGCUGAGUGGUCUAAAGUAUCUGACUCGAAAUCAGACGUGGGGAAACCCACCGUGGGUUCGAAUCCCACCCCUUCCGCCA